rnacentral:rRNA from 1 species
UACGAGGGGGCGAGCGUUGUCCGGAAUCAUUGGGCGUAAAGAGCGCGUAGGCGGUCCGGUAAGUCCGCUCUGAAAGUCCGGGGCUCAACCCCGGGAGGCGGGCGGAUACUGUCGGGCUAGAGUCCGGAAGAGGCGAGUGGAAUUCCUGGUGUAGCGGUGAAAUGCGCAGAUAUCAGGAGGAACACCAAUGGCGAAGGCAGCUCGCUGGGACGGUACUGACGCUGAGGCGCGAAGCGUGGGAGCAAACAGG